rnacentral:rRNA from 1 species
GGGGAAUUUUCCGCAAUGGGCGAAAGCCUGACGGAGCAAUACCGCGUGAGGGAUGACGGCCUAUGGGUUGUAAACCUCUUUUCUCAGGGUAGGAAAUCAAUGACGUUACCUGAGGAAUAAGCAUCGGCUAACUCCGUGCCAGCAGCCGCGGUAAGACGGAGGAUGCAAGUGUUAUCCGGAAUCACUGGGCGUAAAGCGUCUGUAGGUGGCUUAACAAGUCAACUGUUAAAUCUUGAAGCUCAACUUCNAGAUCGCAGUCGAAACUGUUAGGCUANAGUAUAGUAGGGGUAAAGGGAAUUUCCANUGGAGCGGUAAAAUGCGUAAAGAUUGGAAAGAACACCGAUGGCGAAGGCACUUUACUGGGCUAUUACUGACACUCAGAGACGAAAGCUAGGGUANCAAAUGGGAUUAGAUACCCCAGUAGUC